UGUAAGGACAGAUACGCCUAUAAAAGAUAACAGCACUAUGCCGACAGAGCGAGAAGAGAACAGGUUACAGCCACAGAGAGGAAAGUGAGGGAAUGACUGCAGUAAAGUGAAGCUUCUUUGGAUUUUUCUACUUGCUAUCCCACUGCAGUUGAAGCUCAGCGGUGCUCAAAGGCCACCUAGAGGACUCACUGAGAAACUGCACAACACAAAAUACUGCAGUACCCCCUCCUCUAUAAGCUUUCUCCCCGACUGAGAGACUGAGCUGGGGGAGGAGAGCGAGAUGUCGCAAGUGCAAGUAGGUGGAAAAUACUAGGUGGGACAAAAUUUAGACAAAAUUGCAAUAUUAUACUGUAUACUCUGUAUUUUUUUCCCUCUUCUCAUUAACACCCUCUUUGUUUUGUUCUAGGUUUGAUUCGUGAGGACAAGAAGUGUAGUGUUUAAGUGCGCACUACUGUGAAAUCCUCAUGGGUUGUCUAGGUGUGCAGCCAACUGCCUGUUCAGCGAUAUUUCUGGCUCUCCCAGGCCUUCCCUCUUUACUUUUUUUUUUCCUGAACCCAUUUCUGUUAAGUUCCACAGGAGAAAGAACAUAGUACAGGUUAAGAAAAACAUGAGCACAGAAUUUUUUUUUUUAUAAAUCAAACCUUUAUAAUAAUAAUGCUUAUUCAAAUAUUAAUUAAAAUAUUUGGUUAUUUUGGUUAUUAUCUAAUUAAUAUUUGAAUAUUUUGGUUAUUCAAAUACUAAUCAGAAUUUAAAAGGUUAAAUUAGGCUGUGACAAAAAC